rnacentral:rRNA from 1 species
AUUGAACGCUGGCGGCAGGCCUAACACAUGCAAGUCGAGCGGAUGAGGGUAGCUUGCUACCUGAUUCAGCGGCGGACGGGUGAGUAAUGCCUAGGAAUCUGCCUGGUAGUGGGGGACAACGUUUCGAAAGGAACGCUAAUACCGCAUACGUCCUACGGGAGAAAGUGGGGGAUCUUCGGACCUCACGCUAUCAGAUGAGCCUAGGUCGGAUUAGCUAGUUGGUGGGGUAAAGGCUCACCAAGGCGACGAUCCGUAACUGGUCUGAGAGGAUGAUCAGUCACACUGGAACUGAGACACGGUCCAGACUCCUACGGGAGGCAGCAGUGGGGAAUAUUGGACAAUGGGCGCAAGCCUGAUCCAGCCAUGCCGCGUGUGUGAAGAAGGUCUUCGGAUUGUAAAGCACUUUAAGUUGGGAGGAAGGGCAGUAAGUUAAUACCUUGCUGUUUUGACGUUACCGACAGAAUAAGCACCGGCUAACUCUGUGCCAGCA